rnacentral:rRNA from 1 species
UACGGAGGGUGCGAGCGUUGUCCGGAAUCAUUGGGCGUAAAGGGCGCGUAGGUGGCCACUUCAAGCGUGCGGUGAAAAGUCGGGGGGCUCAACCCCCUGAUCGGCCCGUGCGAACUGGGGGGGGCUGGGAGCACUGUAGAGGCAGGCGGAAUUCCGGGGUGUAGCGGUGGGAAUGCGUAGAGAUCCGGAAAGAAACACCCGGUGGGCGAA